rnacentral:rRNA from 1 species
UACGGAGGGAGCUAGCGUUGUUCGGAAUUACUGGGCGUAAAGCGCACGUAGGCGGCUUUGUAAGUUAGAGGUGAAAGCCCGGGGCUCAACUCCGGAACUGCCUUUAAGACUGCAUCGCUUGAAUCCAGGAGAGGUGAGUGGAAUUCCGAGUGUAGAGGUGAAAUUCGUAGAUAUUCGGAAAGAACACCAGUGGCGAAGGCGGCUCACUGGACUGGUAUUGACGCUGAGGUGCGAAAGCGUGGGGAGCAAACAGG